ACUAGACCUGGUGCAGCCAAAUUAAUUGAUUUAAUGCAAGAAAUUUUAAAAAGAAAACUAGAGAGAAGUCACUGUGGCAUUGGAAGACACGGGAAGUUAAUAAAGGGUAAAGUAAAGAGAAGAUGAGGAAGAUGAUAGCAGCCAGUGGAACCAACACUGGGCUGGCGUGGACUGGGAUUGAUAGUAACCUGCUGUGUGACCUUAGGGAACUCACCAGACUUUUCUGGGCUUCAGAGGCCUUUCAGCAUCAUCAUUCCAAUGAAGGCUCAUCUAUGCAACCCUAGGAGCUGCCCAGAACCUCCACACUAGCUCUGCUCAGCUUCACAGGACAGUAAACUUUCCCACCAGCACUGGACGUGCCGAUAGUUCACUUGGGUGCCCAAGCUUCCCUUUCAUUGGGGUGAGAAAGAUAAAUCUAAAUACAGGAAAUUGCAGCCCAGUCUUGAACACAGGAAAACUGUUCACAUUUGCCUCAGUUUAACUUAAUCACCUCACUAGGAAGGAUGAGCUAACAAAGGAAAGAACUGGCUGGAAAACAGUAAGUCUUUGGGUUAAAAUUCUGUGUCCUUGGCGGUUCAAGGUAAUCUCUGGUGUUCUUAUGUAUCUUUUGCCCUUAACUUUUUUUGGUUUCAGGAUUCAGUUAAACACAAUGUAAAUUUCUAAAACUAGGAUGCCUGUUAAAAUCGCUGUUCUAUGAGACAUGCUUUUGAGAGGAGUUCAAACACCCACUAGAAGAAGCCUCUGGUGGGACAAGUGUCUGAAAAAGGAAGUGGCUGACCCAUGAAGGCAGUGGCUCUCUGUCUUCUGUUGAGAGAACUCGCGCGGUCGGCUGCACUUCUGAACCCUCUGGAACUUAGCUUUUAACAGAAUUGCCUCGACCUUGGAAGUGUUUGUUACUUUUCAACGGAGGAAUUCGUGUUGCAUCGCUGUAAUGCUGUCAUGGGCCAGAGCACAAAUGUUUUGUGUUUGGUAUAUAUAUGUGUGUGUUGUUUAUUUUUUUUUAAG
ensembl:lncRNA